rnacentral:lncRNA from 1 species
AGCAUAAUGAAGAACCAAUCAUAAGCAUCAUUGGGGCAUCUCUACCUCAAGUAAAUGAUAAACUAUAAAAAGUUGCUCUGUCUGUAGUAGAGGUCUUUCAUUACUGAGGGACCAUUGACCUCUAUUACUGGGAACCACUAGCCUUGCCAAUACUACUCCUUUAUGGCAAACAUUCAUUCAAAAAGCGACAGAAAUCAGCUUCUCCUCAUCUGGAAACCAAGCCAGACCCCAACCAAUAAACGGGACCGAAACGGAGCAGGAGGCUCCUGGAAGGUAGAAGAGCGUAAGGGCUCUGCAAUGGGGGUUAAAUGACUCCCCAGGGUCACCCAGCUCCAGGACCUCCA